rnacentral:rRNA from 1 species
UACGAAGGGGGCUAGCGUUGCUCGGAAUCACUGGGCGUAAAGGGUGCGUAGGCGGGGCUUUAAGUCAGGGGUGAAAUCCUGGAGCUCAACUCCAGAACUGCCUUUGAUACUGAGGAUCUUGAGUUCGGGAGAGGUGAGUGGAACUGCGAGUGUAGAGGUGAAAUUCGUAGAUAUUCGCAAGAACACCAGUGGCGAAGGCGGCUCACUGGCCCGAUACUGACGCUGAGGCACGAAAGCGUGGGGGGCAAACAGG